UAUAACCUCAGACAACAAGGUUUUAAUCUUCAAAGCUCGCCCACCUUGCAAAUUGAGCCUCUAUUCUAGCAAAUAUCUCCUAAACGAAAAAUUCUAACUAAUGAUUGAAAGUAGAAAAAUGCUUUUCAUCAUCCCUUGACAUAGUAUCAAAUAAGAGAAACGCUUACUGCAGUCGCCAAGGGGAAGCGCCGCGCAAGCGGGCAGCUGAUGUGGCAAUUAAACCGAAACGCCCCGUUUAAUUAAUACACACUGUUUCCUCAUCCUCGUGUUUCAGACAAGAAGAACUUUCUCUCUCUGCGAAGUUCUUUGCCCUCCACUCAAAGCCCAGUGAAGCCCCUUCAUCUUAUGCGCAGAACCCCUUCCCCUUCAUCUCGAAAACUCUAACAGUUUCGUUUCCCUUCCAUCCCGAAAAUCCUAACUUCGGCAUUUCCCUUCAUCCUGAAAAACCCUAACUGAAAUUCCCCUUCAUCCCGUAGAACCCCAACUUUCGAAUUUCCGUUCCCCUUCAUAAUGAAAACUCUAACAACUUCGUUUCUCUUCCAUCCCGAAAACCCUAACUUCUUCGUUUCCCUUCAUCCCGAAAAACUCUAACUUUCCUUGCCCUUCAUCUCGAAGAACCCCAACUUUCGAAUUUCUGGAACGCACCUCCACUUCCGGCACGCAGCUUCAAACCCUAAUGUCUGCUACCACAAAUCCGAGGUCCUAUUUAAAUGGCUUUUACAAAACUGUUUCACAAUCUUGAUACCAUCAAACUAAAAACUGCUGCAUGAGAAUGUCCUUAUCAUCACUGUCUUCUUCACCGUCAGCAAAACCAUCGUGCUUCUGUAAUAUUGAAACUACAUUGAGAUAUUCAAAUACUAAAAGAAAUCCAGGGCGACCCUUCUUAGGGUGUCCAAACUACAACACAAAGGGAUUACCAUAUUGCAAAUAUUUCAAGUGGGUUGAUAGUAAUCAACACACAAACUCGGAUCUACAA